GCAUUGUGAUGAAGAUCUGAACAUUUCUGAUGUUUCCUGACUGAUACAAAACCUCCUACUCAUUCUGA
rnacentral:snoRNA from 1 species